rnacentral:rRNA from 1 species
GACGAACGCUGGCGGCGCGCCUCACACAUGCAAGUCGAGCGAGGAGCCUCCCUUCGGGGAGGUAUCCGAGCGGCGAACGGGUGAGUAACACGUGAGCAACCUGCCCUCGACACCGGGAUAACCCCGGGAAACUGGGGCUAAUACCGGAUACUUGCCAGUCGGGGCAUCCCGAUUGGCAGAAAGGUUCUCCGUCGCGAGGUGGGGUUCCGGUCGAGGAGGGGCUUGCGGCCUAUCAGCUAGUUGGUGGGGUAAAGGCUCACCAAGGCGACGAUCCGUAGCUGGUCUGAGAGGAUGAUCAGCCACACUGGGACUGAGACACGGCCCAGACUCCUACGGGAGGCAGCAGUGGGGAAUAUUGGACAAUGGGCGCAAGCCUGAUCCAGCCAUGCCGCGUGAGUGAAGAAGGCCUUAGGGUUGUAAAGCUCUUUCACCCGCGAAGAUGAUGACGGUAGCGGGAGAAGAAGCCCCGGCUAACUCC